rnacentral:snRNA from 1 species
AUGCAUGUGGUACACCCAUACUAAAACUGGAAUGACAAAGAGAUGAGCAUGACCCCGGUGCAAAGAUGACAUGCAAAUUCAUAAGGCAGUCCAUAGUGUU